GCUGGGCAUUGUGCUGGGCGCCUGUAAUCCCAGCUACUUGGGAGGCUGAGGCAGGAGAAUUGCUUGAACCCAGGAGGCAGAGGUUGCGGUGAGCUGAGAUCUCGCCACUGCACUCCAACCUGGGUGACAGAGCAAGACUCUGUCUCAA
ensembl:misc_RNA Metazoa_SRP Metazoan signal recognition particle RNA